UGAGCAAUCUGCCCUUCUCAUCGGAAUAAGCGUUGGAAACGACGUCUAAUGCCGAAUACGACCUCCUUUCGCAUGAUCGGAGGUGGAAAGCUCCGGCGGAGAAGGAUGAGCUCGCGGCCUAUCAGCUAGUUGGUGUGGGUAAUGGCCCACCAAGGCGAUGGCGGGUAGCCGGCCUGAGAGGGUGACCGGCCACACUGGGACUGAGACACGGCCCAGACUCCCGUAGGGAGG
rnacentral:rRNA from 1 species